GGUGAAAGAACUAUAUAAGCACUAAAAAGCAAAGACAAGCUCUUAUACCUUCUGCAUAAUGUAUUAACUAGAAGUACCUUUACACGGAGAUUUAUAGCCAAGUCCCCCAAAACCAGAUGAGCUACCCAAGAACAACUGAAGAGCACACCCAUCUAUGUGGCAAAAUAGUUGGGAGAUUCAUGACUAGCGGUGACAAGCCUACCAAGCCUGGUGAUAGUUGGUUGUCCAACGUGGAAUCUUAGUUAAACUUUAAAUUUACCCACAAAAUUAUUUACUCUCCCUGUAAAUUUAGCUGUUAGUCUAAGAGGGACAGCUCUUUAGACCCUAGGAAACGACAUUCCUACAGAGAGUAAAAAAUAUUACCACCAUAGUUGGCCCAAAAGCAGCCACCAAUUAAGAAAUAAUUUAAAGCUCAACAUCUAUCUUCAAUUCUAAUCACUCUACUGAACUCCUAACAUCAUAUUGGACUAAUCUAUUACUUAAUAGAACCAAUAAUGUUAAUAUAAACAUUCUCCAUUGCAUAAGUUUACAUCAGACUGGAAUAACCCACUGACAGUUAACAACCUAAUAUUAAUAAAUGAUAUAAUGAGCACCCUAUUAUUUACACUGUUAACCCAACUAAGGCAUGCUCUAAGGAAAGAUUGCAAAAAGUAAGAGGAACACGACAAAUCUUACCCCACCUGUUUACCAAGAACAUCACCUCUAGCAUUACCAGUGUUAGAGUCACUGCCUGCCCAGUGACAUAUGUUCAACGGCCAUGGUAUCCUGACCGUGCAAAGGUAGCAUAAUCGCUUGUUCCCUAAAUAGGGACUUGUAUGAAUGGACACACAAGGGUUCAGCUGUCUCUUACUUUUAAUCAGUGAAAUUGACCUAUCUGUGAAGAGGAGGAUAUAAACAAAUAAGACUAGAAGACCCCAUGGAGCUUUAAUUCAUUAUGCAAAUAAAAACCCAAACAAGCCUACAGGCCCUAGCCUACUAUCCUUGCAUUAAAAAUUUUGGUUGGGGUGACCUCGGAGCAUAGUUCAACCUCCAAACAACCUAAACUAAGACUGCACUAGUCUAAGCGAGUUAGUACACAUUGACCAAAUAAUUCGAUCAACGGAAUAAAUUACCCUACAGAUAACAGUAUUGACAACAGGGUUUAUGACCUCGAUGUUGGAUGAGGACAUCCUAAUGGUGUAGCCGCUAUUAAGGGUUCGUUUGUUUAACGGUUAAAGUUCUAUGUGAUCUGAGUUCAGACCUGAGUAAUCCAGGUCAGUUUCCAUCUAUAUAACAUUUAUCUU
rnacentral:rRNA from 1 species